ACAUGUCACCAUAAUACCCUGAACAUGAAUGAUUUUGUCCUCUGUCAGAAAGUAAGCAGGUGGGCCUGGUUGGUUCUUGGAUGGGAGACCACCUAGGAAUAUGAGGUGUUGUAGGGU
rnacentral:rRNA from 1 species